AUGGAACGCUGGCGGCAUGCCUUACACAUGCAAGUCGAACGGCAGCACGGGUGCUUGCACCUGGUGGCGAGUGGCGAACGGGUGAGUAAUACAUCGGAACGUACCUUAUCGUGGGGGACAACGCAGCGAAAGCUGUGCUAAUACCGCAUACGCCCUGAGGGGGAAAGCGGGGGAUCGCAAGACCUCGCGCGAUUAGAGCGGCCGAUGCCUGAUUAGCUUGUUGGUGGGGUAAAAGCCCACCAAGGCGACGAUCAGUAGCUGGUCUGAGAGGACGAUCAGCCACACUGGGACUGAGACACGGCCCAGACUCCUACGGGAGGCAGCAGUGGGGAAUUUUGGACAAUGGGGGCAACCCUGAUCCAGAAAUGCCGCGUGAGUGAAGAAGGCCUUCGGGUUGUAAAGCUCUUUUGUCAGGGAAGAAACACCGGCUCUAACACAGUCCGGGAAUGACGGUACCUGAAGAAUAAGCACCGGCUAACUACGUGCCAGCCGCCGCCGUAA
rnacentral:rRNA from 1 species